GAGACCCCGCUGCCGCUGCGGACGCCAUGGAGACCGUCAAGGCGCAGACUGUUGUGUGCCGCCUCUUCCAUGGGCGUCCACGCCAUGGAGCUCCUUAAGACACCCUCAAUGAUGACCAAGGUGGAGUGCAGGACAUCGAGGACAUGAUAUGAACCGCCGUUCCAGACGCCCGCCUCGGGGAAGGAGCACUCCAUCCCGCUGAUAACAAUGUUUUGAAAGAGGAGAUGACAGAUUUGUUGGAGGAGAG